UCCUUGCAAGCCUGGGGCAGGCAGGACAAGCAAAUGCUCCAGGAUUUGAGCUGAGCCAGAAGCGUGUUCUGGUUUUGGCUGGGAUAGAGACAGUUUUCUUCCCAGUAGCUGGUACAGUGCUGUGCUUUGGAUUUGGGAUGAGAAUAAUGAUGAUAACACACUCAUGUUUUAGAUGUUGCUGAGCAGUGUUUGCAUGGAGUUAAGCGCUUUUCAGCUUCUCACCUCACCCCACUGGUAAGGAGAUUGGGGGGCACAAUAAACUGGGAGAGGACACAGCCAGGACAGCUGACCCCCACUGCCCAAAGGAUGUUCCAUACUUUAUGACAUCAUGUUCAGGAUAUAAACUAGAAAGAAAGUUGGCCAGUGGCUACUGUUCAGGUACUGGCUGGAUAUCAGUCAAGGGAUGGCUUCCUGGGCCAGGCCUGCUCAAGUUACAGCCCACUGAAGAGGAAUCUACAGAUUGCUGGAGGGCUCUGCUGGAUGACCUUCUACCUGUCACCAUCACUUGCUUGCAUUAGGGUAGCAGUUUGAACAAGCCAGUCAGCAACUCUGCAACUUGGAAACAGUACGAGGGAAACAAGAGGCUGUGCUGGCUGCCUUUACUCCAUUUAUUCUGGCUGAAAUGGGAUUGCUGAGUGUGGGAACUCAGUACAUCACUCUGGAUGUCCAGAGCUACCGAGACAACCCUUGGGGGGCUCGGAGGUCCUGGAAUGUUGCCAAAAGUGCCUGGUGGCUUGACUUUGAUCCUUCUAAAGAAAUGACACCUGAAUGUGAGGAAAUGAGAGAAUUUCAAGUUUGAAUGGUGAGGGGAUGAUAUUCACUAGGUAAAACUUAAAUUAUAAUGCAUUGUACAGGGGGGUUUGGAAUUCUGUACAUGGGGAUCGGGAGUCCCAAGAUGAAGGGAUUUGGGUGUGCCCUGUCCUUCUUCUUUCUUCUCCUUGGCAUCCAUGUUCAGGAUGAUGUUGGCAUGUGUGGAUUGGUUCAUAGGGAAAGUGCAGUUGCCAACAAGGGAAGAAAGUAUUGGGAAUUAAAGGUAAAUGUCUUAUACAUAGUUUUAACUAUAAAAGAGACAACCGCCCCAUGGGCGGGAGAGAGUGCCCUUGGCUGUCUUGCUGAUCAGACCUCGGCUGGACAGACAGAAAAACUUUGUAGAUAAGAAACAAUAAACGCAACUGAAGACCAAAAAGCAAGAGUCCAGACUCCUUCUUCAAAGCACGGCCUGCC